rnacentral:misc_RNA from 1 species
GAAAUGCGAUAAGUAAUGUGAAUUGCAGAAUUCAGUGAAUCAUCAAAUCUUUGAACGCACAUUGCGCCCCCUGGUAUUCCGGGGGGCAUGCCUGUUCGAGCGUCAUUUCACCACUCAAGCCUCGCUUGGUAUUGGGCGACGCGGUCCGCCGCGCGCCUCAAAUCGACCGGCUGGGUCUUCCGUCCCCUCAGCGUUGUGGAAACUAUUCGCUAAAGGGUGCCGCGGGAGGUCACGCCGCAAAACAACCCCAUUUCUAAGGUUGACCUCGGAUCAGGUAGGGAUACCCGCUGAACUUAAGC